GCAGCAGCGAGCCUGACACAGCACCAGACCCGUUUCAAGCUCCCAAACGACUUUUCCAUAGCCGCGUGCCUCUGUUUUCCAUGCUACGUUUCCUGCUCUGAGGAUGGCCUCUCUUCUUAAUUUGCCUUAUGGACCAAGAUAACUGCUCUAUCUCCAACCAUCGCUUCUGCAUCCCAGACACCUAGAAGGCCACAAGAUAUUUGGAUGUGAGCAACCAGGUGACAGAAGACCAGGGAGCAGGAGCAGAGAAGCUGCUACUAAAGUCCUCUGACAUGAAACUCGGCCCCUCUGCUGACUCAAAAAAGGACUCUCUUCAGGUAUUUUAGAAUUUGCAUGCUAGGACUGAAUGCAAGUGCAUGUAGACUCCCCUCUUUCUUACAAAGUCAGGCUGAAAACUAGAAACUCAUUCUAAUCUGCUGUGGUUUAAAUAAAAUAAUGAGAGUACAUAUGCUUAAGAAUAAGAAGUCUAUUCCAUUGUCAUGUUCACCUUCCCCAAAUUUACUUAUCGUGACUACUUCUUCUUCACCCAAGAUAUCAAGAUGUAUGAUGAAUGUUUUCUGAGAUAAAUUUGUGUUGUGUUAAUAU